rnacentral:rRNA from 1 species
AUGAACGCUGGCUGCGUGCCUAAUACCUGCACGUCGCGCGAACAGACGAGGAGCUUGCUCCUCUGACGUUAGCGGCGGACGGGUGAGUAACACGUGGAUAACCUACCUAUAAGACUGGGAUAACUUCGGGAAACCGGAGCUAAUACCGGAUAAUAUAUUGAACCGCAUGGUUCAAUAGUGAAAGACGGUUUUGCUGUCACUUAUAGAUGGAUCCGCGCCGCAUUAGCUAGUUGGUAAGGUAACGGCUUACCAAGGCAACGAUGCGUAGCCGACCUGAGAGGGUGAUCGGCCACACUGGAACUGAGACACGGUCCAGACUCCUACGGGAGGCAGCAGUAGGGAAUCUUCCGCAAUGGGCGAAAGCCUGACGGAGCAACGCCGCGUGAGUGAUGAAGGUCUUCGGAUCGUAAAACUCUGUUAUUAGGGAAGAACAAAUGUGUAAGUAACUAUGCACGUCUUGACGGUACCUAAUCAGAAAGCCACGGCUAACUACGUG